AAUAGAUACCCGGGUAGUCCACGCCGUAAACGAUGAGUGCUAAGUGUUAGGGGGUUUCCGCCCCUUAGUGCUGCAGCUAACGCAUUAAGCACUCCGCCUGGGGGAGUACGGUCGCAAGACUGAAACUCAAAGGAAUUGACGGGGGCCCGCACAAGCGGUGGAGCAUGUGGUUUAAUUCGAAGCAACGCGAAGAACCUUACCAGGUCUUGACAUCCCAUUGACCACUAUGGAGACAUAGUUUUCCCUUCGGGGACAACGGUGACAGGUGGUGCAUGGUUGUCGUCAGCUCGUGUCGUGAGAUGUUGGGUUAAGUCCCGCAACGAGCGCAACCCUUGUUCUUAGUUGCCAUCAUUUAGUUGGGCACUCUAAGGAGACUGCCGGUGACAAACCGGAGGAAGGUGGGGAUGACGUCAAAUCAUCAUGCCCCUUAUGACCUGGGCUACACACGUGCUACAAUGGACGGUACAAACGGUUGCCAACCCGCGAGGGGGAGCUAAUCCGAUAAAACCGUUCUCAGUUCGGAUUGUAGGCUGCAACUCGCCUACAUGAAGACC
rnacentral:rRNA from 1 species